GUAGUCCACGCCCUAAACGAUGUCUACUAGUUGUUGGGUCUUAAUUGACUUAGUAACGCAGCUAACGCGUGAAGUAGACCGCCUGGGGAGUACGGUCGCAAGAUUAAAACUCAAAGGAAUUGACGGGGACCCGCACAAGCGGUGGAUGAUGUGGAUUAAUUCGAUGCAACGCGAAAAACCUUACCUACCCUUGACAUGGCAGGAACCUUGGAGAGAUCUGAGGGUGCUCGAAAGAGAACCUGCACACAGGUGCUGCAUGGCUGUCGUCAGCUCGUGUCGUGAGAUGUUGGGUUAAGUCCCGCAACGAGCGCAACCCUUGUCAUUAGUUGCUACGCAAGAGCACUCUAAUGAGACUGCCGGUGACAAACCGGA
rnacentral:rRNA from 1 species